rnacentral:rRNA from 1 species
UACGGGGGGUGCUAGCGUUGUUCGGAAUUAUUGGGCGUAAAGAGCGUGUAGGCGGCUUGAUAUGUCAGAUGUGAAAGCCCUGAGCUUAACUCAGGAAGUGCAUUUGAAACUGUCAGGCUUGAGUAGGGGAGAGGGAAGUGGAAUUCCUGGUGUAGAGGUGAAAUUCGUAGAUAUCAGGAGGAACACCGGUGGCGAAGGCGACUUCCUGGCCCUAUACUGACGCUGAGACGCGAGAGCGUGGGUAGCAAACAGG